GUCUGUUUAACGAUUUGCUUCACCUUUUCAACCAACAAUUAAAAUAUUCCUCAUUCCAUUUAUCAUACAACAUAUUAAUGAUUUUUUGAGGAGUGUAGCACUUGAGCUGCACUGGCAUUUGAUCCGUAUCCGCCUUCCCUCUUCUCGUAAUCAUUUUACUUUGGGACUAUUCCUGAAUAAUCUAUCGAAAUCGUUUGUUUAAGUCGGAUUUCGUUUGCACACGAAUCAGCGCUGAUCAUUCUCGAUUCACUCUCAAAAUGAUUUCCAUUCAAGCCAGGUUUUAAAAUGCGUUGACGGAUGGGAAGAACAACUCAAGCGCAACAAAUUUCAUUGUGGGUUUUC
rnacentral:lncRNA from 1 species